GAUGAACGCUGGCGGCGUGCUUAACACAUGCAAGUCGAGCGGACGGACGAGACGCUUGCUUGUCUGAUGAUAGCCGCGGACGGGAGAGUAACACGUGGAAAACCCACCUAUAUGACUGGGAUAAUCUCGGGACACCGGAUCUUAUACCGGAUGAUCUUUUGAACCACAGGGUUCAAAGGUGAGAGACGGCCUUGCUGUCACUUCUAGCUGCAUCUGCGCUGCAUUGGCUAGUUGGUAAGGUAACGGCUUAUCAAGGCAACGAGGCAUAGCCGACCUGAGAGGGUGAUCGGCCACACUGGAGCGGAGACAGGCACCAGAGGCCUACGGGAGGGCGCAGUAGGGAAUCUGACGCAAUGGGCGGGAGCCUGGCGGAGCAGGGCCACGUGAGUGAUGGAGACCUUCGGUUCGUAAAACUCUGUUAUUAGGGAAGAACAGAUUUGUAAGUAACUGUGCACAUCUUGACGGUACCUAGUCAGGAAGCCACGGCUAACUACGUG
rnacentral:rRNA from 1 species